AUUGAACGCUGGCGGCAGGCCUAACACAUGCAAGUCGAGCGAGCGGCGGACGGGUGAGUAAUGUAUGGGGAUCUGCCCGAUAGAGGGGGAUAACUACUGGAAACGGUGGCUAAUAACGCAUACUAUCGGAUGCAACAAUAUGGUGUUAGCUAGUAGGUGGGGUAAGGGGUCACCUAGGCGACGAUCUCUCGCUGUUCUGAGAGGAUGAUCAGCCACACUGGGACUUAGACACGGCCCAGACUCCUACGGGAGGCAGCAGUGGGGAAUAUGGCACAAUGGGCGCAAGCCUGAUGCAGCCAUGCCGCGUGUGUGAAGAAGGCCUUCGGGUUGUAAAGCACUUUCAGCGAGGAGGCGUUACUCGCAGAAGAAGCACCGGCUAACUCCGUGCCAGCAGCCGCGGUAAUAC
rnacentral:rRNA from 1 species